UUUAGGAGUGAACUAACAGUGAUAUUGUCUAUUUUGUUAUGAGAACAUAGAGACUGAAGCAUGAUAAGCAAUUGUAAUGAUGAAGGGAACGAAGGCACCCCUUUUGCUUUUGUCUGUCUCGUAUGUCCCUUCUUUUGUAGAAAAGUAAGAGUGCAAAUAUGUGGAGCAGCCACUGACGUACGGAGGGUGACAUCACCUAAAAUAUGGGACAUAACUGAUCCAUCUCUUGGGAGGUUCAAAAUCGUAGCCACAUAAAAGAACAUAAAUAGCAGGGAAAACACUGUCUGUUCAAUAAUGUGUGCUCGAGGAUCAAUGAUAAUUGAGGGCCUUGUAGGCCUGUUUGGUUGGAAACAGUCUGGAUAGAAGCAGCAUAUGUGAUCUAUAAAUAAAUGGCCUCUGCAAGAUAAAGAUUCCAGUGAUCCUACCAAAAGAUGCAGAGAAAGGUUCUCUUCGCAGGAGAGAUGACGCCGUCGCCCAUGUCCAUUCGAGGGCUAGGCGCCAGCAUCAUUUCUCCUGCAUAGGAAACCUUUCAUGUGUAAAUAAGUCAACUGGGGAGCUGGGCAGAGGAUAUAUGUAGAGUUUCAAGGUAAAGCUGGGACUGUGGAUAGGCUGAUCAUGUGUUCAGCUUUUGAAGAUAUGGAAUAUGCAAAAACUUUUGGGGCUGAGGAACAUCUUCUCCUACUAUUUUAGCAUCUCUUGCAGACCAAUAAGCCAUAAGCCAUGGUUUCCUAUUUUCUCGGAUAGAUCUCUCAAGCCCCUACCACUGCAACCUACUCAAAUCCAAAAUGAGUCUUCACACGCUUCGAGCUUAUUGAAGCCUCAUUGACUAAUGCUGGUAAAUUCGGAUGAGGAGUAAGGCAUUGAACUUCUUAGCGGGACUCAUUCAAGGUAAGAUCUGUAUGUAUUUUUGUUUGUUGUGAAUAGGCUGAAUCUCAAGCAGAACAAGCUAGAAAUGAUCAAGACUCUGAGCGUUUUAUAAGAUCUGGAUAGCAUACAAUCAUUUGAUUUUUUUUUCCCCAUUUGAUGGAAUUGGAGCCAUCAAAUAUACCCAAUAGUAAAAAUGGCGAACUUGCUACUUUCACAUUCAAGCAAUAAUGAAUAUCUUUUUCAUAACAAGGUGCCCACUUGAAGAAGAAAAUCUGGCAAAAGGUAGCCAGCUGGAGCUAGGAGUACAGCAGGCUGUCAGCAAUGGUUGCGCUCGUAAAUGCCUAGAGUUAUUCAGUGCAUGUCCUCCAAAAAACUGGGCUAGCCCACUGCCCACUGGAAUAGCAGGAUGGGAAAAGCUUUAUUAAACAUUGUACUGUAAUAUAUAUAAGAUACCAUUGGAAGAUGUUCAAGAAUUUUCUUAAUGAUAUUAAGCACGUUUAUGAGGA